GGAAGAUUUUGGUUUCAUUUCUGCUGCAGUUACUAAUUAAUCCUGCAGAAGUAGAAACAGACCAAGGAGAGGGAGGUGGGAAGGAAGAGGCCUGAAGAGAGGAAAACCGGUUGUCAGCCGAGUCCUCACGGGAGUAACUCAGACAAAGGCCACACGACACUUUUAUUCCCCUCUGACAGACGAUCCUUCAGCAAGAACGAGUAAAAAUAAGACUGAGAUCUGUGGACGCCUCAUGCCCCUUGGAGGGGGGUACAUAUAAAUGGAGUCUCAGAGUCUCCACCGGUCUCAGCUUUCUCAGAACUGGACGCGGAGGUCCCGCUGACUACCAGCAGAACUACAGAAACGCUGGCGUUGUUUUCUCCUGAGACAUUGGCAAACAGAGACAGGGUUUGAAGCCCUGAGGACCUGAGUGUGGCCCAGAAGUCAAGGGGUGAUGCUGGGGAGGCAAGUCACCCUCAGUCAGCACAGCCAGACCAAGGGCCUGUGAACAGACUGGGACAAUCCUAGGACAGUGUGCAGGGGCGAUGUGUUCCAGCUGCAGCUGCUAUUAAGAAAACGUGAUUUACUGUUUUAUGUGGAAAUACGGAGUUGCUCUUACGCUUCAUUGAAAAGCAUCCACGAGCCAUGUCAAGGCGGGUACGCCGUGCCCCCUCUGCCAGGCAGUGUUGAGAUGACUCCAGAAGGAGCCUGAGGGAUUCCGUAUGCGUUUUCUGCAAGGAACUUAAAUCUGUUUUGUUAGGACAGCUGUAGAUGAAGAACAGAAAGGACUCUCUUCUAUGGCAGCUACCCUAGCAAGCCUGAAGAAUGGAACCAGCUUCCCCCAUCAGCCACGAUUCCGUCCGUCACAACUCUUCUUUUAAGCCUGGUGUUGGUUUGAGCCAGCCUGGGCUGGGGGUGGUGGGCUGCAGGGUAUUGCUCCCUCCCCAGGAGUCAGUGCAGGGACGGUUUCAGCCUAGUGCCAUCCAUCUCAUCCCUCACCUUCUGAAACUCAGGAGAGACGGCGGAGGGUAGCCUGGUUUGUCUUUCUGUGCAAUUGGCAAAAUCUUGGGGAAGCACCAGAGCAGCUAGCCCGGCUUCCUGGAUGUGUUUUGGAGAGGUACCUCACACCAUCGUGGCCCUGGGGGCCACCGUUCCCUUUUGUUCCUUUAUCUCUGGCACCAAUAUGCUCACAAUGUCUUGGGUCACAACUGGGUCCACACUCCAUAAGUAAGUUGGGAAGAUAUCUAAAAUACACAAGAAGAGAUAGAAGAAAGGAAACUAAAACCAGCCUCUUGACAUUGAGUUGAGAUUAAAAUUUGCAAAUAAGCAUCCUGUACCCUUUCUGGAUUACAUUUUGUGUGUACAGAUUUUGAACACAAACACCAUUUUAAAAGUGUUGUCAUCUCCUGAUCACACAAAUAAAUCACACACGCGGCUCUGACACUGUGCUUUAGGCUCUGGAGGAAGAGGGAGAUGGUGACAAAUGAAUGUCAUCUAUCUUUUAUGUUCCUACCCUUCUGAUCCUGAUGCUAAAUUAAAGAUGAGAGAUGAAAGGUUUGGGCUUCUCGUUCCUUCUAACCAAGGAGGCGUUUCUCCACCUCCUGGGCAGUGACAAGAAGCCAGGUGGGCCAGCGGAGGAAAGUUGUACACACACCAAAAGAAUUUAUCUAAGUGCAUGGAAUUUUCAAUUUUUCUGAGCUGUGUCUAUUUCGGGUUACAGAGUCUUGGGACUGGCUUCUCUGAUGGCUAGAGCCCGUGCUGGGAAGGCAAGACAGCGGCAGCAACGUCUCUUGUGUUUGCACGACACAGAUUUUGCUGACAUACCAAGAAUCAAGGGAUUCAAAAUCAUUAAGACCGUUACCUUUGAUUUAAAAUGAACAGAAUAACAAAGCUCUGUCGAGUGGACCUGUUUAGCCACUUUUCUUUGAUGCUGUCUUGAUGGAAUGAGUGUAGACUUCAGCUAUCAAGUGACUCACAGCUUUGGGACAGAGAGGCCCUGGCCUCAGGUUCUAGCCUGGAUAGUCGUUGGCUCUGUGACUAUUAAUAAAUUGCUUCAUUUCCUCCUCUGUAAAUAGCAUGGCCUGCCUUGCAUAAGGGAGCCAAAUGGCUCAGUGAUGAGCAAAGUAGAUACCAGAAGAUUGCCUUUCUAGAAGGGGCAGCAGUGGGAACGCACACUCUCUCGCACGCUCAGACCAGACUGUGCCGGGAUGCCGCAGUCUGGCUGGGCACAAAUGCCGCAGUCUGGCUGGGCACACAAUCACGAGCCACCACACAGCUUGUAGAUUCAAACAGCAACUCUUUAUUCCCGAACUCACACUAGCCGUCUACAAUCACGUUCUGGGGAAAUCCACGUUCUCUGCCCAAAUCCACCUCCACUGGGCUUCUAUCUCCAAAAUAUACUGUCUGAAUCCCGUGAGAACUCAAGGGGAACUCAGGCAGCAGGAUACGCCCUAUUCCCAGCAGGAAUAAUCUUAAACCUUAAACCUGGAACCUAAACCAGGAACGCCCUAAACCCGAUUAUCUUAAACCGGGAACACCCUAAUCCGCCUUGGUCCUUGAGCAAGGUCACCUACAUUCAAUGUCACUGCAACAUGGGGUACGCUGGCAAGGAAAUUGUCAUACCUACUUGGCUAAUGGCUCCCAGCACCGGGAGGUGGUGGAUACCAUCAAGAAACGUGCAGGAGGUUAUGGGAUAGGACGGGGCGUGUGGGGAGGGAUGCGUCAGGAUGUCUUCUCUGGUAAUCUCAUGGGCCAGAAGGAAGCCAGCGGGCUGUGCCGACACCUCACUGGAAGACAUCCCAGGGGCGAGGCAAGAAGGCCAGGGAGCCCACAGGGGCCUUGGGGCCACAGCGUGCUGUGAGUUUUCUUUGGAGUAGAAUGAGGAAGGGUUAGAGACGUUUGGGCAGAGCCAUGGUGUAAUUUGUUUUACAUCUUUAAAGGAUCCUUCUGCUAACUGUGGGGAGAACACAGUUCUAAGGGGUUAGGAGUGGCAACAGAGAUUCCACUUAAACUACUAACUAACGUAGGCAAGAAAUGGGAGUGACUGGGGUGGGUGGCAGCAGAAGCUUUGAAAAAUGAUCACAUUUGGGAUUUAUUUAUUUUUGUCCAUAUUUUAAAUAGUUUUGCUGAGGUAUAAUUUAUACAUCACAAAAAUUUAUCCAUUUAAAAAUAAAAAGAGCAUGUUUCCAGCAGAUUUAGAGUUGCACAAGCAUCACCACAGUCAUUUUAGGUCCCUUCCGUCACCCCCGAAGGCCCCUCACUCCCAUUGGCCUCCAGUCCCCCGCCAGCCCUGACCGGCUUUCCCUGGACACUUCACGCAGAGGGCUCCAGCCGUGCGGAGACCUCGAGUCCUGCUCCUUCCGUUGGCAUUGCAUUUUGAGGUUCAUCCAGAUCAUGGCGCAGAGCAGUCGCGCACUCCUGUGUCUGAGUGGCACCGCAGCUGAGUUCUCCAGACGCGUUUGCUCUUCACCAGCUGGUGGACAUUAGAUGGCCGUGCUCUGCGUCUGAGGUGAACAGUGCCGUGUGAGUCUCACCUGCAAGUCUGUGGGGACGUCCUCACUCUCCUUGGGUGGAGACCUGAGGCUCCCUGUGCGGGCGUGUUCUCUUCUUAAGGAACUGGAAACCUGUUUUCCAAAGUGACUGCACCAUCUUAUGUCAGCAUUCAGCAGUGUGAGUGUUUGGGUUUCUCCAGACCCUUCUCCAAGCCAGCCAAAGGAGCCUGUGGAAGGAGCGUGGACGAUGGAUCCAGUGCAAACCUGAAGAAGGCCGAAUUCGCACAGAGGGGUUUUGUGGGCUGGGAGGUUUUGAGGAGGCUUGCUUCUGACUGAUCUUUUACUCAAGGUCAUCAGCUGAGGGUGGAAAAGAAGAUAGAAAGGUGUUGUCAGUUUGGAAAGAGAGAAGAAAGCAAGAAACAGAAAUGUACAAAAACAUCUGAGCUGUUCAACUUGAGAACCUGGUUAGCCUGAAGGAGGGAGGGAGGGAGCAGCAAAGGCGUUUUGUUGUAGUGAGGGCACUGGUGACGAUGGAUCCCAGGGACCAUGAGGGAGAGACAGUAGUGCAGGGUGGCAGGGUCACCGUGUUGGGGUUACAGUGGGGUUGAAGAGCUGUUGGAUCAGGGUACUAGAAGUAGGACAUGCAGAGGCAGGCGUGUGGAGGGAGCCCAGGUGACAGACGGGUGAUAGACAGGGUGCCACAUUGUGGUGACGACGUUGCAUUGGCCACAGAGGUAAAGGUCUAAGGUCGAGGUCAUCAGCCCAAUAUUUGAAAAUACAGACUUCCACGGGUGGGUAUGGUAAUCGGCAAGAUCGACAGCAGGAGCACUGUCCGAGGCAAGCCGGGGGCUGCUCAGCUCACAGCACACAGCUGGAUGAUUCAUUUGAUGGAUGGUACCUCUGCUGUAUGCUGGCCCAAUUCUAAGUACAAUGAAGGCACAAAAAAGGAAAUUAAAAUAAACAAAAAUUCCUACCAAAAUAUUUCUUCUCAAGAUGUUGAUUGGGAAACAACAUCCGUGAAAAUGAUUAACGGAUAAGCCCGAAUAAUGGAUUCUCUCCAUCAUCUCUAACUGACUGUCAAAGCCAAUGGAGAGGAUGUCUAACCUAAAACCCAAGAUGCCUCUGAAUCUGCUCCUGAAUGGGUUAUUAAGCCUGAGCCUCCAUAGAAGUUGGAUUUUAAAAAGACGGUGAAACAGACUCCAAGGGGACAGUAUCCAUUGGGUAUGUUCUUCACAUAAGGCCUUAUGCUUGUGCAUGAUGUUGAGGUUGAAUGUGUAUUUAAGUGACUUUUCCUGCAGGCUGUUUUAUAAUGUUACAUGCUAUUCUUUUGUAAAGUAAUACCUACAUACUUAUUAUGGACAAUUAAAUUAAAAAUGCAAAAAAUAAAAAAGAAGAAAAUGAAAUCAUAUGGAAACUCAUUAUCUAGAGGAAAAAAAUACUAAAAAUGUUUGCUACAUAUCAAUAUGCUGAAAAUAUCAGUAUAUUCCCAUUUGUGCAUUCCACAUAGUUGAGAUCAUCCUGUAUAUGUAAGUUCUCUCCCCUUUUACUCCUAAUAUUUUACUAAUUUGAUUGAGCAAUAUUCAAUAAUGAUGGUAUGUGAUAUCAUGUAAUUUAACCCAUGGGAGAGCCCCAUGAGAUAGACUCUAUUAUUAACCCAUUUUGCAGAAAAAAAAAAAACACCGCGGAGAAAGAUUUGAGGGAACUUGCCCAAGGUUUCGCCACAGUUAAAUGCUGAUGUGGGGUUGGACCAAGUCUGGAUGGAAGCAGAACUCAGGUUCUUGAGUGCUGACUCAGUCUGACUUGGGUCACAGAAACAGAAGGCCCUUCCAGGUGUCUUCACGUGAAGACGGUUCAUACAGGGUGUAAGGUGUGUGACCUUUGUAUGUGCCGCUUGGCUUCCUGCAGCGCCUGAGGGUGUGGGGAGAAUCCCAGCCUGCGCUGAUGCCCACCACAGCGCCACCGGAAACUACGUCCACAUUUUUUCUUGUACCUUGCAAACUUCACACAGCCCACCUCCACCAAGAACCAGUGGACAUUUGUGCCAAUCUGAGAAAUGCGGUUUCCGGCUUUCAGCCCUGUGGGUACCAGGAGGACUGAGCGCGCACAGAUAGGACCAGACGCACAGGUGGGAGACAAUCAUCAUUCCCUUGGUCCCCCCUCGUUGUACACGGAGGUUAUUUCCGGGCCUGUGGCACAGCUUUCAUGGGCUCAUGUCCCCAUCUGCAGACAUCUAACCAGACGCCCCAUCUCAGGCGUCCCUGCUGUCCUGUUCACAGCCCCUGAUAAUGCUCGCCUUCUGCACAGCCACGUGGGGGCAGCAGCUCCCCACCACCUCCGCGCCGACACCCACCCCGGCCGCGGCUGCCUCCCGUCCUCUCCAGGCCCAAGACCCGGGGGGCCAAUCCCGUCGUCGUCUCCAUCCCUCGGUGUUAGGCCCAGCCAAGAUCUCCCCGAGGAGCAGCCCCACUGAGCCUUGCUUCCCGCCGGUCACUGCAGCGGCCCCUGUGGCCCCCGUGGGUGACCCUCCCUCCCUGCCGACAGACUGACCUACAGGUCUGGGCGCGAGGCGGUCCCCUUGCCUACCGCCCCUGAUCUCUGUCCCUGGUGCCCGCCGUCUCAGGAGUGCCUCCUAGUGACAGCCAACUCCUGCGACAGGGUUCCAGCUACCUGCCAAUCAGAUGCCCGGCUCUUCAGGUCCAGAGGCCUGCUGCCGCCCGAUGCUACAGAGAACAUUUUGGACACCACUCUUUGCCCACAUUCUGUCCUUAGAGUACUUCUCUAAAACUGAAAUUGGUUUAUAAUAGGAAAUAAAGAGUUUUAAGAUUGUGAUA